GGGCGUCUCGUUCUCAUAACGAGUGGAGACGCACCAGGAGCGCACACGCUGGUACCCGAAAGAUGGUGAACUAUGCCUGGCCAGGACGAAGCCAGGGGAAACCCUGGUGGAGGUCCGAAGCGAUUCUGACGUGCAAAUCGAUCGUCUGAGCUGGGUAUAGGGGCGAAAGACCAAUCGAACUAUCUAGUAGCUGGUUCCCUCUGAAGUUUCCCUCAGGAUAGCUGGCUCUCGGGAAGAGACGAGUCUCAUCCGGUAGAGCGAAUGAUUAGAGGUGAUGGGGUCGAAACGACUUCAACCUAUUCUCAAACUCCCAAUAGAUGAGAGCCCCGGCUUGCUUAAAAGUGAAGCCGCGGGACUCGGAUCAGAGAUGCCAAGUGGGCCAAUUUU
rnacentral:rRNA from 1 species